rnacentral:rRNA from 1 species
AUUGAACGCUGGCGGCAGGCCUAACACAUGCAAGUCGAGCGAGCGGCGGACGGGUGAGUAAUGUAUGGGGAUCUGCCCGAUAGCGGGGGAUAACUACUGGAAACGGUGGCUAAUAACGCAUAAUAUCGGAUGAACCCAUAUGGGAUUAGCUAGGAGGUGGGGGAAAGGCUCAACUAGGCGACGAUCACUAGCUGGUCUGAGAGGAUGAUCAGCCACACUGGUACUGAGACACGGCCCAGACUCCUACGGGAGGCAGCAGUGGGGAAUAUUGCACAAGGGGCGCAAGCCUGAUGCAGCCAUGCCGCGUGUAUGAAGAAGGCCUUAGGGUUGUAAAGUACUUUCAGCGGGGAGGCGUUACCCGCAGAAGAAGCACCGGCUAACUCCGUGCCAGCAGCCGCGGUAAUUC